UUUUUGCCUUUACCGCCUAUAUACCGCCGUCGUCAGCUUACCCUGUGAAGGCCAAAUAGUAAGCACAAUCAGUACAACUCAAAACGUCAGGUCGAGGUGUAGCAAAUAAAAGGGGAAGAAAUGGGCUACAUUUCCUGCCCCAGGAAACACGAAAAAUUUGCUGAAACGCAUGCGGGAAGGAGGAUUUAGCAGUAAGCAGAAAAUAGAGUGUUCUGCUGAAACAGGCCCUUAAGCGCGCACACACCGCCCGUCACUCUCCCCAAGCCACCACACACCUCAUUUCUAAUAAAUUAACCCGGAUAAAGGGGAGGCAAGUCGUAACAUGGUAAGUGUACCGGAAGGUGUACUUGGGUAAAC
rnacentral:rRNA from 1 species